rnacentral:rRNA from 1 species
AUUGAACGCUGGCGGCAGGCUUAACACAUGCAAGUCGAGCGGAGAUGAGGUGCUUGCACCUUGUCUUAGCGGCGGACGGGUGAGUAAUGCUUAGGAAUCUGCCUAUUAGUGGGGGACAACAUUCCGAAAGGAAUGAUAAUACCGCAUACGUCCUACGGGAGAAAGCAGGGGAUCUUCGGACCUUGCGCUAAUAGAUGAGCCUAAGUCGGAUUAGCUAGUUGGUGGGGUAAAGGCCUACCAAGGCGACGAUCUGUAGCGGGUCUGAGAGGAUGAUCCGCCACACUGGGACUGAGACACGGCCCAGACUCCUACGGGAGGCAGCAGUGGGGAAUAUUGGACAAUGGGGGGAACCCUGAUCCAGCCAUGCCGCGUGUGUGAAGAAGGCCUUAUGGUUGUAAAGCACUUUAAGCGAGGAGGAGGCUACUGAGACUAAUACUCUUGGAUAGUGGACGUUACUCGCAGAAUAAGCACCGGCUAACUCUGUGCCAGCCGCCGCCGUAAAAC